AAAUAAUUUUUCAGUAAUGGAAUGAAAAUCAUGGCAUGGCCAGAACACAUCAUUAGAAGUAUCUGUUUGAGGAUCUGUAGCCACAGCAAAAGCUGCCCUAAUUUAUCAUCUUCUGUAAAAGUGACACUAUUUCUCAGGGAAAAGUGGGAAUCUAUGGUGGGGCUAGUUAUGAUUUUACAUGUACAUUACAUUUAAUCCGAUAUGAUUCUCUUUUCUUGUUCUUUAGUAUAACUCUAAUUAUAUUAUGCAUUACUAUACUAUUUACUUGGAAAUGUGCAGG
rnacentral:misc_RNA from 1 species